rnacentral:lncRNA from 1 species
AAGCACAAAAGUUAGAAAAUUAAAGACUAGCUUAGCUAGGGAGAAAUAGAAUAUAGUAGAGAAGUUGGACAGCAUAGCAGAAAAUGCUGCAGGUUUCUUGGCCAAGGUCUCCUUUUUGUAUGGACAUACUACUAUUAACAUUUCAUCAUUAAUUCUUCCCAAAUUAUAGAGUAUAAACUUAAUUACUCAUUGAGUACUAAUAAUAAUCCUC